AUUGAACGCUGGCGGCAGGCCUAAUACAUGCAAGUCGAACGCAGUGGGGACGGGUGAGUAACACGUGGGUAACCUCCCAUCAGAGGGGAUAACACUUGGAAACAGGUGCUAAACCGAUAUUGACGGAUGGACCCGCGGUGCAUUAGCUAGUUGGUGGGGUAACGGCUCACCAAGGCCACGAUGCAUAGCCGACCGGAGAGGGGGAUCAGGCACACUGGGACUGAGACACGGCCCAGACUCCUACGGGAGGCAGCAGUAGGGAAUCUUCGGCAAUGGACGAAAGUCUGACCAAGCAACGCCGCGUGGGUGAGGAGGGUUUUCGGGUCGAAAAACUCUGUUGUUAGAGAAGCGUUAUCUGACCAGAAAGCCACGGCUAACUACGUGCCAGCAGCCGCGGUAAUAC
rnacentral:rRNA from 1 species